AUCUAGCUGACGAGUUUCAAAUAAGAUGAAAUGUGCGUCCUGCAU
rfam:Schistosoma mansoni strain Puerto Rico chromosome 3, complete genome